UGUGAAUGUAACAACUAGCGUAUGAAAUAAGCCAAAAACCAAGCCAGACAUCAAGGCUGGUAACUUCUAAAUGUUACCAGCACAAAAUGGAUUUAACCAUACCAGACA